GCACACCUGCCAAUCAGCAGCAGACCCUCCCUCCCAGCCCUCCCACCUCCUGGACAGCAUCCAUUUUACAUUCAUUGUGAAGCUGCAUUCUUAGUGAGCUGUCCAGGAGGUGGGAGGGUCUGGGAGGGAGGGUCUGCUGCUGAUUGGCUGGAAUGU
rnacentral:miRNA from 1 species